rnacentral:rRNA from 1 species
AACGAACGCUGGCGGCAGGCCUAACACAUGCAAGUCGAACGCUGUAGCAAUACAGAGUGGCAGACGGGUGAGUAACGCGUGGGAACAUGCCCUUCGGUUCGGAAUAACUCAGGGAAACUUGAGCUAAUACCGGAUACGCCCUUAGGGGGAAAGAUUUAUUGCCGAAGGAUUGGCCCGCGUCCGAUUAGCUAGUUGGUGAGGUAAUGGCUCACCAAGGCGACGAUCGGUAGCUGGUCCGAGAGGAUGAUCAGCCACACUGGGACUGAGACACGGCCCAGACUCCUACGGGAGGCAGCAGUGGGGAAUAUUGGACAAUGGGCGCAAGCCUGAUCCAGCCAUGCCGCGUGAGUGAUGAAGGCCCUAGGGUUGUAAAGCUCUUUCGCCAGGGACGAUAAUGACGGUACCUGGAUAAGAAGCCCCGGCUAACUUCGUGCCAGCCGCCGCGGUAA